rnacentral:rRNA from 1 species
GCAGAUUAGCUAGUUGGUGGGGUAAAGGCCUACCAAGGCGACGAUCUGUAGCUGGUCUGAGAGGACGACCAGCCACACUGGGACUGAGACACGGCCCAGACUCCUACGGGAGGCAGCAGUGGGGAAUUUUGGACAAUGGGCGCAAGCCUGAUCCAGCAAUGCCGCGUGUGUGAAGAAGGCCUUCGGGUUGUAAAGCACUUUUGUCCGGAAAGAAAACUUCCGCCCUAAUACGGUGGGNGGAUGACGGUACCGGAAGAAUAAGCACCGGCUAACUACGUGCCAGCAGCCGCGGUAAUACGUAGGGUGCGAGCGUUAAUCGGAAUUACUGGGCGUAAAGCGUGCGCAGGCGGUUCGUUAAGACAGAUGUGAAAUCCCCGGGCUUAACCUGGGAACUGCAUUUGUGACUGGCNAACUGGAGUAUGGCAGAGGGGGGUAGAAUUCCACGUGUAGCAGUGAAAUGCGUAGAGAUGUGGAGGAAUACCGAUGGCGAAGGCAGCCCCCUGGGNCAAUACUGACGCUCAUGCACGAAAGCGUGGGGAGCAAACAGGAUNAGAUACCCUGGUAGUCCACGCCCUAAACGAUGUCAACUGGUUGUCGGGCCUUCAUUGGCUUGGUAACGUAGCUAACGCGUGAAGUUGACCGCCUGGGGAGUACGGUCGCAAGAUUAAAACUCAAAGGAAUUGACGGGGACCCGCACAAGCGGUGGAUGAUGUGGAUUAAUUCGAUGCAACGCGAAAAACCUUACCUACCCU